GGGUUGUGAGGUUAAGCGACUAAGCGUACACGGUGGAUGCCCUGGCAGUCAGAGGCGAUGAAGGGCGUGCUAAUCUGCGAUAAGCGCCGGUAAGGUGAUAUGAACCGUUAUAACCGGCGAUACCCGAAUGGGGAAACCCAGUGUGACUCGUCACACUAUCAUUAACUGAAUCCAUAGGUUAAUGAGGCGAACCGGGGGAACUGAAACAUCUAAGUACCCCGAGGAAAAGAAAUCAACCGAGAUUCCCCCAGUAGCGGCGAGCGAACGGGGAGGAGCCCAGAGCCUGAAUCAGCAUGUGUGUUAGUGGAAGCGUCUGGAAAGGCGCGCGAUACAGGGUGACAGCCCCGUACACAAAAGCGCAUGUGCUGUGAGCUCGAUGAGUAGGGCGGGACACGUGGUAUCCUGUCUGAAUAUGGGGGGACCAUCCUCCAAGGCUAAAUACUCCUGACUGACCGAUAGUGAACCAGUACCGUGAGGGAAAGGCGAAAAGAACCCCGGCGAGGGGAGUGAAAAAGAACCUGAAACCGUGUACGUACAAGCAGUGGGAGCACCCUUUGGGGUGUGACUGCGUACCUUUUGUAU
rnacentral:rRNA from 2 species